CAAGAAGAGACCCUAACCGGUCCUCUCAACCCUGCCCAUCGUACCUUUCUGUGUUCCCUCGGCGGGUCGCGGCCCGCCGGAGGGAAGACAAUUAAACCAUUUGCAAAUUGCAUAUCAAACUCUGAUACAAACAUUAAAUUGUCA
rnacentral:misc_RNA from 1 species